rnacentral:rRNA from 1 species
UUGGAGGGCAAGUCUGGUGCCAGCAGCCGCGGUAAUUCCGGCUCCAAUAGCGUAUAUUAAAGUUGUUGCAGUUAAAAAGCUCGUAGUUGAAUUUCGGGGUUAGUAGGUUGGUCGUGCCUAUGGUAUGUACUGGCUUUACUGAUUCCUCCUUCUUGAAGAACUGUAAUGUCAUUAAUUUGGUGUUGCAGGGAAACAGGACUGUUACUUUGAAAAAAUUAGAGUGUUUAAAGCAGGC